GGAUCCCAUCAGAACUCCGAAGUUCCGCGAGCUUGGGCGAGAGUAGUACUAGGAUGGGUGACCUCCUGGGAAGUCCUCGUGUUGCAUUCCCUUUUUUAAUUUUUUUUGCGACUCGUGACAGACAUGACGCACGUGCGCGAUAUAUAUUAGCCCGUUAUUUUAUUUUUGACGUUUGCGAUACGUUUAAGCUCGCUGCUGAAUACUCACGCGUCUAGGGGCGGCGUCGUUGGCCGGAAAAGCGCGCUCUCAGAUGGUGGAAAAUACGCGUUGCCGCCGGCAUAGAGGGAGGGGUGGAACCCGUGGUAAACUCGUCUCCGUAGCUGAGCGGGAGCGUAAGUAGUAUAGGGCAUCAUCCAUCGUAAGGGAACGGUCGUAAUGGUAGUAAGAAUGUGCAAUCGUCUUUGUUGUGGACCUGGGAGUGGAAAGCAUAAGGGACGAAGACGGGGGUAACAUGUCGGAUGCGAUCAUACCAGCACUAAAGCACC
rnacentral:rRNA from 1 species